rnacentral:tRNA from 1 species
GGAGAGGUGACCGAGCGGCUGAAGGUGCUGGUUUCGAAAACCAGUGUAGGACUUGUGCCUACCGAGGGUUCGAAUCCCUCCCUCUCCGC